AUGCUCUCUCAAGGUUUCAAAAGGUCUAAUUAUGAUAGUUGUGUUUAUUUGAAAACUGUGAAAGGUUCAACUAUUUAUUUGCUCCUUUAUGUUGAUGAUAUGCUUAUUGCUGCAAAGAGUAUGUCAGAUAUUAAUGAACUAAAGAAGCAAUUGAGUAAUGAAUUUGAGAUGAAAGAUUUGGGUGCAGCAAAGAAAAUACUUGGCAUGGAAAUAUCUAGAGAUAGACCAUCUGGAAAAGUGUAUCUCAGUCAGAAGGGAUAUAUUGAUAAAGUUCUUCGUCGUUUUAAUAUGCAUAAUGCCAAGCCGGUGAGUACUCCGUUAGCUGCACACUUCAAAUUAUCAUCAGCUUUAUGUCCUAAGUCAGAUGCAGAUAUUGAGUACAUGUCUAGAGUUCCCUAUUCGAGUGCAGUUGGUUCACUUAUGUAUGCCAUGGUUUGUUCUCGUCCGGAUUUAUCUUAUGCAUUGAGUGUUGUCAGUAGAUACAUGGCUAAUCCUGGAAAAGAGCAUUGGAAAGCAGUUCAGUGGAUUUUCAGAUACCUGCGUGGUACUUCUAAUGCUUAUUUACAAUUUGGGAAAACUGGAGAUGGACUUGUUGGUUUUGUUGAUUCUGAUUUUGCUGGUGAUUUGGAUAAGAGAAGAUCACUCACAGGUUAUGUUUUCACCAUUGGUGGUUGUGUUGUGAGUUGGAGAGCAACUUUGCAGUCUAUCGUGGCGUGUUCCACUACUGAUGCCGAGUAUAUGGCUAUUUCUGAGGCAUGCAAAGAAGCUAUCUGGUUGAGAGGUUUGUACACUAAGCUUUGUGGAGACUCAUCUUGCCCUACCGUAUUUAGUGACAGUCAAAGUGCUAUAUAUCUUACAAAGAAUCCAAUGUAUCAUGAGAGGACAAAGCACAUUGAUGUCAGAUUUCAUUAUAUUCGAGAUGUUGUUGCUGAAGGCGAUUUGAAGGUAUGCAAGAUAAGUACUCAUGAUAAUCCAGCUGAUAUGAUGACAAAGCCAGUUCCGACCAAUAAGUUUGAGCUUUGCUCAGGCUUAGUUGGUAUUUCUCACUAG
rnacentral:rRNA from 1 species